rnacentral:rRNA from 1 species
UCUCUCAGGAUGAACGCUGGCGGUGUGCCUAAUACAUGCAAGUCGUACGCACUGGCCCAACUGAUUGAUGGUGCUUGCACCUGAUUGACGAUGGAUCACCAGUGAGUGGCGGACGGGUGAGUAACACGUAGGUAACCUGCCCCGGAGCGGGGGAUAACAUUUGGAAACAGAUGCUAAUACCGCAUAACAACAAAAGCCACAUGGCUUUUGUUUGAAAGAUGGCUUUGGCUAUCACUCUGGGAUGGACCUGCGGUGCAUUAGCUAGUUGGUAAGGUAACGGCUUACCAAGGCGAUGAUGCAUAGCCGAGUUGAGAGACUGAUCGGCCACAAUGGAACUGAGACACGGUCCAUACUCCUACGGGAGGCAGCAGUAGGGAAUCUUCCACAAUGGGCGCAAGCCUGAUGGAGCAACACCGCGUGAGUGAAGAAGGGUUUCGGCUCGUAAAGCUCUGUUGUUGGAGAAGAACGUGCGUGAGAGUAACUGUUCACGCAGUGACGGUAUCCAACCAGAAAGUCACGGCUAACUACGUGCCAGCAGCCGCGGUAAUACGUAGGUGGCAAGCGUUAUCCGGAUUUAUUGGGCGUAAAGCGAGCGCAGGCGGUUGCUUAGGUCUGAUGUGAAAGCCUUCGGCUUAACCGAAGAAGUGCAUCGGAAACCGGGCGACUUGAGUGCAGAAGAGGACAGUGGAACUCCAUGUGUAGCGGUGGAAUGCGUAGAUAUAUGGAAGAACACCAGUGGCGAAGGCGGCUGUCUGGUCUGCAACUGACGCUGAGGCUCGAAAGCAUGGGUAGCGAACAGGAUUAGAUACCCUGGUAGUCCAUGCCGUAAACGAUACUCUUGU